AUUAACAAUGGGGCGGAUGGAGCUGCAGCUCCAGGCCACCCAAUGAAAAUAGGCCCACAGGAUCCCUCCAUUGCAGCCAGUGUUGACAGGAAAAAGAAUCCUGUCAUCACCAGCAGCUCACUCACCUCCCGAUUGCCCAGUUUCCUCCACCCCAAAUCGGCUGGCUGAAGUCCCGGCCAGCUCAGUGCCUGUCUAAAACUGUCCUCUUACUCUUCCUGACUCUGGCCGAGGCUCCGCCCCCGGACCCGGCCGAGGCUCCGCCCCCGAAUCCGAUGUGGCACUGACUGGGCUUGCUAUUUACUUUUUUUUUACCCUGUCUUGUGUGGCUGUAAAUGUAAUUGGACAGCAGAAGAUCAAGCAAAACGAAGACAUCACUGCAGUGAGCCUUGGUAUGGGCUGAAGAUACAAUUUCUCUGUGAUAGAGAGUAGUGGAAGAGAACGGAAGACGAUACAAGAGAGACGAGUUAUUCGGUGAAUCGUGUUGAUCAUAUUAUGGAGAUCCAGGGUUUGCCAUUCCUACCAUGCCUCUGGGUUAUAUGGACAUGUACAGGUCUCAUCAAAACCUUCUCCAUGACAUCAUUGAAGGUCAUGUUGAGAAAUGUACACUGUAUAUCAGUGAUACUGGAACCAACUAUCCGGACUCCAUAGUAUUUAUAGUGGUGUUUUCUAUCUCUGCUGAUCUUGGGUCAGCUGUCACUUAGAGAGGCGGCAUUGGUGCAUCUCCACAGCCUGCUACUGGCUGUGGCUCCAGGGUGAGGAAUCAGAGGAUGUCCACUCAGCUUCCGUCUUCUACUCUUAGCCUCACACUCCGGCCAGUAACUGUGCCAGACGCCUGUGGUAAAUUUACACAGAUUAUGUCACUUGCUUCUCACUGCUCCGUUACUUCAGGAGGUUCCCCUCUUCCCUACUCCCUCAGGAGUUAUCCUGACAGGGGUUGUGUGGGGAGGUGCCAAGUUGAGUCUUUGCCGAACACUUACUUCUACAGAAUUUGGCUGGCAGCUGAUGUCAACCAUGCAAGCUUAGCAUAAAACAUUUACUCACUCAAGGGAUAAUUCUUCCAUUCACAGCUUUUUGAUGCUCAUCCAUUUCUCAAGGAUUUUGGGCACAUAAAAAAUCUGACUAAUCAACGUCCUGAAAUUCCCGCCCCUAAUUAUAACAGUAUUAAAAACACCUAGUUGAUUGAGAGUUUUUUUUUUUUUAUCGAGCUCAACAAUCUACCAUCUUGCUCUUUACUUGGUCAGUGAAGGCCUAAUGUGCAUUACUCCCUAUAGGAAUUAUCAUUCAUGGGUGCACUUCUAGUACAAAUUAAAUGUAUGCUCUUGCUGUGUACCUUUCAUACUGUGGAGAUUACAAGCGAUGUGACAUGAGCUUCCUUUAGUUAUACAACAGUAAGUGACAUUUACUGUAUGAUAAAACAAUCUACAUGACACCUAAGAUUGUGUGUCAGAUUACAGAGUUAGCGGCCUCAUAUCAGUAUAGUGACAGAAUGCUUUUCUUCCCUUGUUAUAGUUUAUGAGACACGUCAACCAAAAGAUGUAUGAAUUAUGUCACAGGUAUAUUACAUGAAUCCCAAUUCACAUACAUACAGAAAUCUUGAAUGUGUGUUUGAUUUCAUUAUUGGGGUUAAUAUGUGUAUGUGCUAUGAUACCUGGAUUUGCCAAUAGAAUAUUCUCACUUUCCUUCUGUAUUUGCUUAUUAAUAGCUCUAUUUGUAAAUUACCUCAUACGCUUAUGAGGUAAUUUACAUCUUCAGAGGCGUGAUGUAACAUGCAUGGUAAAUAAAUCUGUUACUAAUUGUUUCAAUAA